rnacentral:rRNA from 1 species
GACGAACGCUGGCGGCGUGCUUAACACAUGCAAGUCGAACGAAGAUGCCGGAGUGCUUGCACUUUGGCAGACUGAGUGGCGGACGGGUGAGUAACGCGUGGGUAACCUGCCUUAUACAGGGGGAUAACAGUUGGAAACGACUGCUAAUACCGCAUAAGCGCACGGUAUCGCAUGAUACAGUGUGAAAAACUCCGGUGGUAUAAGAUGGACCCGCGUCUGAUUAGCUUGUUGGUGAGGUAACGGCCCACCAAGGCGACGAUCAGUAGCCGGCCUGAGAGGGUGAACGGCCACAUUGGGACUGAGACACGGCCCAAACUCCUACGGGAGGCAGCAGUGGGGAAUAUUGCACAAUGGGGGAAACCCUGAUGCAGCGACGCCGCGUGAGUGAUGAAGUAUUUCGGAUGUAAAACUCUAUCAGCAGGGAAGAUAAUGACGGUACCUGACUAAGAAGCACGGCUAAAUACGUGCCAGCAGCCGCGGU